UACGAAGGGGGCUAGCGUUGUUCGGAAUUACUGGGCGUAAAGGGCGCGUAGGCGGUACUUCAAGUCAGACGUGAAAUCCCCAGGCUUAACUUGGGAACUGCGUCUGAUACUGGGAGGCUUGAGUGCGGGAGAGGGAUGUGGAAUUCCAGGUGUAGCGGUGAAAUGCGUAGAUAUCUGGAGGAACACCGGUGGCGAAGGCGGCAUCCUGGACCGACACUGACGCUGAGGCGCGAAAGCUAGGGGAGCAACGGG
rnacentral:rRNA from 1 species